GCACAAGCGGUAGAGCAUGUGGUUAAUUCGACGCAACGCGAAGAACCUUACCAGGGCUUGACAUCCCUGACCGCGUAUGAAAGUACGUUUCACCUCGGGUGACAGGGAGACAGGUGGUGCAUGGUUGUCGUCAGCUCGUGUCGUGAGAUGUUGGGUUAAGUCCCGCAACGAGCGCAACCCUCGACCUUAGUUGCCAGCAUUCAGUUGGGCACUCUAAGGUGACUGCCGGCUAAAAGUCGGAGGAAGGUGGGGAUGACGUCAAAUCAUCAUGCCCCUUAUGACCUGGGCUACACACGUGCUACAAUGGGCGGUACAAAGGGUCGCGAACCCGCGAGGGGGAGCCAAUCCCAAAAAGCCGCUCUCAGUUCGGAUUGCAGGCUGCAACUCGCCUGCAUGAAGCCGGAAUCGCUAGUAAUCGCGGAUCAGCAUGCCGCGGUGAAUACGUUCCCGGGCCUU
rnacentral:rRNA from 1 species